rnacentral:rRNA from 1 species
ACGCUCGACACCUACGGGGGCAGCAGUGGGGAAUAUUGGGCAAUGGGCGCAAGCCUGACCCAGCAACGCCGCGUGAAGGAAGAAGGCCCUCGGGUUGUAAACUUCUUUUAACAGGGACGAAGCAAGUGACGGUACCUGUUGAAUAAGCCACGGCUAACUACGUGCCCGCAGCCGCGGUAAUCUGAGCGGGCUGGCAAGGC